GACGAACGCUGGCGGCGUGCUUAACACAUGCAAGUCGAACGGAAAGGCCCUGAUUGCGUGGGGUGAUCGGGUGGCGAUCGGGGGCGUAAGACGUGUAUAACCUAAUCUAGAUUUUGGGAUAAGUUCAGGAAACUGGGGCUACUAUCGGAUAGGAGCUCCCGUUGCGUGGUGGGGGUUGGAUAGUUUCGGCGGUUGGGGAUGGAUUCGCGGGUUAUCGGCUUGCUGGUGGGGUAGUGGCUUACCAAGGCUUUGACGGAUAGGCGGCCUGAGAGGUUGGACGGCGACAUGGGUACUAAGGUACGGCCCAGACGCCUACGGGAGGCAGCAGUGGGGAAUAUGACACAGUGGGAGGGAGCCUGAGGCGGCGACGCCGCGUGCGGGAUGACGUCCUUCGGGUUGUAAACCGCUUUCGCCUGUGACGAAGCGUUAGUGACGGUAAUGGGUGAAGAAGCACCGGCUAACUACGUG
rnacentral:rRNA from 1 species